rnacentral:rRNA from 1 species
GGGUUGUGAGGUUAAGCGACUAAGCGUACACGGUGGAUGCCCUGGCAGUCAGAGGCGAUGAAGGGCGUGCUAAUCUGCGAUAAGCGCCGGUAAGGUGAUAUGAACCGUUAUAACCGGCGAUACCCGAAUGGGGAAACCCAGUGUGACUCGUCACACUAUCAUUAACUGAAUCCAUAGGUUAAUGAGGCGAACCGGGGGAACUGAAACAUCUAAGUACCCCGAGGAAAAGAAAUCAACCGAGAUUCCCCCAGUAGCGGCGAGCGAACGGGGAGGAGCCCAGAGCCUGAAUCAGCAUGUGUGUUAGUGGAAGCGUCUGGAAAGGCGCGCGAUACAGGGUGACAGCCCCGUACACAAAAGCGCAUGUGCUGUGAGCUCGAUGAGUAGGGCGGGACACGUGGUAUCCUGUCUGAAUAUGGGGGGACCAUCCUCCAAGGCUAAAUACUCCUGACUGACCGAUAGUGAACCAGUACCGUGAGGGAAAGGCGAAAAGAACCCCGGCGAGGGGAGUGAAAAAGAACCUGAAACCGUGUACGUACAAGCAGUGGGAGCACAGGUUUACCUGUGUGACUGCGUACCUUUUGUAUAAUGGGUCAGCGACUUAUAUUCUGUAGCAAGGUUAACCGAAUAGGGGAGCCGUAGGGAAACCGAGUCUUAACCGGGCGUUAAGUUGCAGGGUAUAGACCCGAAACCCGGUGAUCUAGCCAUGGGCAGGUUGAAGGUUGGGUAACACUAACUGGAGGACCGAACCGACUAAUGUUGAAAAAUUAGCGGAUGACCUGUGGCUGGGGGUGAAAGGCCAAUCAAACCGGGAGAUAGCUGGUUCUCCCCGAAAGCUAUUUAGGUAGCGCCUCGUGAAUUCAUCUCCGGGGGUAGAGCACUGUUUCGGCUAGGGGGCCAUCCCGGCUUACCAACCCGAUGCAAACUGCGAAUACCGGAGAAUGUUAUCACGGGAGACACACGGCGGGUGCUAACGUCCGUCGUGAAGAGGGAAACAACCCAGACCGCCAGCUAAGGUCCCAAAGUCAUGGUUAAGUGGGAAACGAUGUGGGAAGGCCCAGACAGCCAGGAUGUUGGCUUAGAAGCAGCCAUCAUUUAAAGAAAGCGUAAUAGCUCACUGGUCGAGUCGGCCUGCGCGGAAGAUGUAACGGGGCUAAACCAUGCACCGAAGCUGCGGCAGCGAACGUAUCACUUAAAGCGAUUCAGCGGGUUACGAUUGACGGAGCGAAGCGACGUCAAAGCGUAUACAAAGUCGAGUCGGUUUAAGGAUACGUUCGUUGGGUAGGGGAGCGUUCUGUAAGCCUGUGAAGGUGGCCUGUGAAGGUUGCUGGAGGUAUCAGAAGUGCGAAUGCUGACAUAAGUAACGAUAAAGCGGGUGAAAAGCCCGCUCGCCGGAAGACCAAGGGUUCCUGUCCAACGUUAAUCGGGGCAGGGUGAGUCGACCCCUAAGGCGAGGCCGAAAGGCGUAGUCGAUGGGAAACGGGUUAAUAUUCCCGUACUUGGUGUUACUGCGAAGGGGGGACGGAGAAGGCUAUGUUGGCCGGGCGACGGUUGUCCCGGUUUAAGCGUGUAGGUGUGUGUUCCAGGUAAAUCCGGUUCACUUUAACACUGAGGCGUGACGACGAGGCACUACGGUGCUGAAGCAACAAAUGCCCUGCUUCCAGGAAAAGCCUCUAAGCAUCAGGUAACAUCAAAUCGUACCCCAAACCGACACAGGUGGUCAGGUAGAGAAUACCAAGGCGCUUGAGAGAACUCGGGUGAAGGAACUAGGCAAAAUGGUGCCGUAACUUCGGGAGAAGGCACGCUGACACGUAGGUGAAGUGAUUUACUCACGGAGCUGAAGUCAGUCGAAGAUACCAGCUGGCUGCAACUGUUUAUUAAAAACACAGCACUGUGCAAACACGAAAGUGGACGUAUACGGUGUGACGCCUGCCCGGUGCCGGAAGGUUAAUUGAUGGGGUCAGCGCAAGCGAAGCUCCUGAUCGAAGCCCCGGUAAACGGCGGCCGUAACUAUAACGGUCCUAAGGUAGCGAAAUUCCUUGUCGGGUAAGUUCCGACCUGCACGAAUGGCGUAAUGAUGGCCAGGCUGUCUCCACCCGAGACUCAGUGAAAUUGAACUCGCUGUGAAGAUGCAGUGUACCCGCGGCAAGACGGAAAGACCCCGUGAACCUUUACUAUAGCUUGACACUGAACAUUGAGCCUUGAUGUGUAGGAUAGGUGGGAGGCUUUGAAGUGUGGACGCCAGUCUGCAUGGAGCCGACCUUGAAAUACCACCCUUUAAUGUUUGAUGUUCUAACGUGGACCCGUAAUCCGGGUUGCGGACAGUGUCUGGUGGGUAGUUUGACUGGGGCGGUCUCCUCCUAAAGAGUAACGGAGGAGCACGAAGGUUGGCUAAUCCUGGUCGGACAUCAGGAGGUUAGUGCAAUGGCAUAAGCCAGCUUGACUGCGAGCGUGACGGCGCGAGCAGGUGCGAAAGCAGGUCAUAGUGAUCCGGUGGUUCUGAAUGGAAGGGCCAUCGCUCAACGGAUAAAAGGUACUCCGGGGAUAACAGGCUGAUACCGCCCAAGAGUUCAUAUCGACGGCGGUGUUUGGCACCUCGAUGUCGGCUCAUCACAUCCUGGGGCUGAAGUAGGUCCCAAGGGUAUGGCUGUUCGCCAUUUAAAGUGGUACGCGAGCUGGGUUUAGAACGUCGUGAGACAGUUCGGUCCCUAUCUGCCGUGGGCGCUGGAGAACUGAGGGGGGCUGCUCCUAGUACGAGAGGACCGGAGUGGACGCAUCACUGGUGUUCGGGUUGUCAUGCCAAUGGCACUGCCCGGUAGCUAAAUGCGGAAGAGAUAAGUGCUGAAAGCAUCUAAGCACGAAACUUGCCCCGAGAUGAGUUCUCCCUGAGACUUUAGGUCUCCUGAAGGAACGUUGAAGACGACGACGUUGAUAGGCCGGGUGUGUAAGCGCAGCGAUGCGUUGAGCUAACCGGUACUAAUGAACCGUGAGGCUUAACCUUACAACGCCGAAG